rnacentral:lncRNA from 1 species
CUCCUUCACAUAUCCAAGCGACACCAACAGAAAGUUCUUGCAUUUUGUGAUGCUCCACACCUCUUCAAAUGCAUCAGAAACCGUCUUUUGCAACAAAGGUACCUGAAAAGGAGGGACGUUGGAUAAGGUGGGUGGACUAGGCAGCAGUUUAUAAAGAAGACGAAGUCAACGUUGGAGCUUUGAAGGUAUGUCGAAAAAUAACACAUUCCCACAUUUAACCAAGCAACUGUGAUAGGAUGCAGGAAAAGUUUGCUACGCAAGUGUUCAGCCGCUCGAUGGCGUCAGGUAUUGAAUUUUACAGAAACCGUGAUGUGCGCAGUCUGGGAAACACUGAAGCCACGCAACAAUUCACAUUGUUUCUUAGUAAUCUUUUUGAUGCCUUGAACUGCCGGUUUUCUCGUGAAGGUGUCACAAAGCAUGGCUCUGGCCUAGGUAUAUUGUCACGUGGCACAAAAUGGCUGAACAACCGGGAAAAAGAGCUGCAGAGUGUAAAUAUCACAAAUGAAAUGUUCCUGCCAAAAAGCACCUCUGAAGGGCUCCGAAUUACCUUGAGAUCAACUAAAGAGCUAUGCGAGUUUCUUUUGCAUGAGUACAAGUUCAGAUACAUUCUUACAAAUAUUAAAAUGAACCAAGAUCCAAUCAAAAGAUUUUUUGGCAAAAUAAGACUUGCUGGAAGCCAGAAUGAUCAUCAUUCAAUGCCAACAUUCCUGCAACUCUACAAUACAAUGUGCAUUUAUAGCCUUCUGAGGCCUCCCAAGUUUGGGAAUUGCUGCGUGGUCUAUGAGAAGCCAUUACUAGACGGAUCUGAUUUCAGAGCCCUGAUCAAACUACGCAGUGCAAGCAACUCUUCGCCUGGCUUCAGUGAUCAGCUAAAAGAAAAGCUUGAUAAACUGAUUCUUGUUGAGGACUGGGAAUGUGAGGAUGUUAUCACAGUAAACGGAAAUGAUGCAGAGCAAGUCGUUGACUGCAUACUCUACCAUGUGGUUCGAUUCUUGAGCCGAAAGUUGAUGAAAGCCACCAGUUGCUAUUCUUGCCGAUCUACUUUUACCAAUUAGGAAAACAACUCUGCUGAAGCAUCCCUGACCAACACAAAGAGCAGAGGUGGACUGCUGCACCCAAACUUGAAGCUCAUUGAGCUGUUGCGAACAGCUGAGGAGUACUUUGCAAAAAAUGCAGACAAUCAGUCUGUGUACUGGGAAACGGUGGAGCAUGUGCUUGACACAAAGAGCAUGACUUUUCCAUGUGCACAGCACGAAGAAGAGAUCAUUCCACACAUUCUGCACUAUUUCUUAACAAUGAGAAUGAGGCAGCACUGCAAGGCCAAAACCAUGAACUUGAUGAAACAAGCUCAAGAGAAAAAAAAAGCUAGCAAAACUUUAUUCAUCCUGAAUCUUG